GUGCAAGACGUAAAGGUGAGGAAGAGGUUUGCACAGGAACACAGACCUGCGGCAUUGGUCAUCUGUCCCACUGCGUCAAACUCAUUUUCAUAUUGGGCCAUGUCAAGAUUGUGAAUGUUCUUAAAGGGCCGGUGGUGCCAAAGUGUACUGAUAAAACCCAUUAACAAACUGUUAAAAUAUUAACAAGGAGCUGUAAGUCCAAUAAGUACUCCUUAAAAUGAAAUACCAUCAUGCAUCUCCUCACAUCAAUCAGUACUUUCAGAAUUUCAUGAUUGUUUUUGUGAUACUGCCCGUUUACUCACAAUUAUGCAAUAGUGUGAAAAACUGCAAAGAUCUGUAGAUUUUGUGUGAAUUUUCAAGGAAUUGCAAAAAUAAAAAAAUAAAAAGUAAAUGGUGGGAUUGAUCGAUACAAUUUGGUGUAGGAACUGUAGAGGGCCACAUAUAAAGCUACGGCGGGUCGGAUUUGGCCCCCGGGCCUUGAGUUUGACAUCAACAUAUCAUAUCAAGGUGCCACAAGGGGGCGCUGCACACCGGUUUUUUUACCCUUAAAAAGUUCUAGUAAGUAGUUAGCUCUAACCACAGCUCCUGCUGUUUAAUAGUCGUGGCAAUAAUAACUACAGCAGAGUGAAACUGGCUCCCUCUUGCUGUAAAAGAAAAGCCAAGCCAAGUUUAAAGGUCGGGAUGUAUUUUUAGACAAUUACUCCUGCAGCUCAGCAAAGCUGUAGAAAUGUCGGACAUAAAAGCAGAACAAAAAGACUCCAAAGUUUAAUGAUACAUUCACAAUAAAACCAGUCUCCCAUGUUAAAUCCCCCGCCCUAAAAAAAUCUAAGUUUUAUUUGAUUUUUCAAUAUAAACUCAGAAAGCACAAUUAAAAAGGGAAAAGGAAACAAUUUCAAGACAUAAUGAGCAUAGAGUCCGUUAAAAACUCUGCACCCACGGUAGAACAAACAUGAGGCCAAACAAAAGGACUCAUUGUUAGCCGAAGUAAAAGCUGGUGCUGAAUGGAGCGUUUCUCAGGCAGGAUAAGAAACAUCUAUUUGCUACAAUGUCGAAGCAGCCAUGUGGGUGUCUCUAUUCUAGAUCUCCCGAGCUCACCAAGUUUUUUUUAAUCCCGGCUGAAUGGAGCUUUUUCACUGGAACAGAAUGCAUGCAGAAUGUACAAAAAUGACUGAAUGUUCCUCUCGGUAGUAAGUUAAUGUGGGGAAGAAAAAAAAAAGAAAAGUGUGUGUGCUGUCAGAAGGAGCGGUUUGUCGGCAGCGGGUCGCCGACUUUCUGCUGUGCGUUUGUCCGCUCCCUGCCUGCCUAUGGGGAGAACGCAGAGAGGCAGACCCGUUGGCACGGUUCUGACCAACCGCUAAGCUGCUUCUGUUCGCCGCUCCGAGAAACGGCACUUUGGAUCAAAUAGUGAAGAUGGAGAGGUGUUGACGGACAGAAAGCUGGAGAUUAUCUACUACUUUUCACAACACGAAGCACCAACACACCCUUUAAUGGGGCGUAUUGGUUUAAAGGUUCUGUCGUUGUGCUACUAUUUAACCACUAACGCUGUCGAUUGAGCGUGAAACAGCCGGUUGAUCAGCGGGUUACAGGAAACUGGAAGGAACAUAAAGAGAGACAAGAGGAGACGCCCGCUGACUCUGGCAGCUCAGCCUACCUAGCGCCAUAUGGAUACAGUUUUUCACACUGCCGUAUUACAAUCGCAACCUUUAAAACUGCAGUAUGUCAUUUUUUACAAAAAUAUAUGGGUUUUUUAAAUAUUUGGUAGAGCUCUCACUAUGCCCUGAAGACAGAUAACCUGUGAAAAAAAUCAACCUCCUUCUGCCUUCUCCUUGUUGUUCUAUCGCCAUCUGCAGAAAUCCAACGCAACCAAUCAGAAACAACCAAUCAAAGUCAGAAGGAGGGUCUUAGCCCUGUCAAUCAAUCUUGUGUACACACUGCUAAAUGUGCUAAUGAUGGGGAAACAACUUUACGUUACAGAAAAACUAUUUAUCCGCCGUCAUCGGUGGCCAUGCUAACUAGUCUUAGCAUUCACAGCAGGCUCUGCUACCAGAAAGAAGC